rnacentral:rRNA from 1 species
AACGCGAAGAACCUUACCUGGGCUCGAAAUGUAGUGGAAUGAGGUAGAAAUAUCUCCGCCCCGCAAGGGGCCGCUAUAUAGGUGCUGCAUGGCUGUCGUCAGCUCGUGUCGUGAGAUGUUGGGUUAAGUCCCGCAACGAGCGCAACCCUUAUCUUUAGUUGCCAUCAGGUCAAGCUGGGCACUCUAACGAAACCGCCUCGGAUAACGGGGAGGAAGGUGGGGAUGACGUCAAGUCCUCAUGGCCUUUAUGUCCAGGGCUACACACGUGCUACAAUGGCCGGUACAAACCGUCGCAAACUCGCGAGAGGGAGCUAAUCGGAAAAAGCCGGCCUCAGUUCGGAUUGGAGUCUGCAACUCGACUCCAUGAAGCUGGAAUCGCUAGUAAUCGCGGAUCAGAACGCCGCGGUGAAUACGUUCCCGGGCCUUGUACACACCGACGCGUA